CAAGACGUUGCAGACCUCAGAUCCUCUCUGCUACUGAACUUCACCGUGUGACACAGCGUCGUGGCACGUGAUGAACCAUCCUGAACCACUGGCUAAUGAUGGAGCACCAGCUUCUUCCCAGUGAUGGCUGCAAGUGCUAAGAGCAGCCCCAGGAUUACUGUGGUUAUGAACUUUGCAGCAUCUCUGUAGAAUUGGAGCCGUGGUUUUACUGAAGUAUUACGGACGUUACGCCAUUACGGAGCGGGCAGCAUCCUCUGUCGGAGGAGCAGGGCUACAGGAGAGGUUACGGCACCCAGACCAGUACCUCCAUCACAGCCUGCAGCACAUCCCUCGAUGUGCCUCCUUGUGGCACAAGGACCUGGCUUCAUCACAGAAUGGUAAGGAGUCGAGAUUUUAUCAUAGAAUCAUAUAUAGAACCACACAAUGGCUGGGAGGCACCCCCCCAACCCCC